AAUUGUGUGGCAUAGUGGCUUGAGUGUUGGACUAUGACUCUGGAGACCAGCGUUCAAUUCCCUGCUCAGCCA